rnacentral:rRNA from 1 species
AGAGAGAGACAUGCGCGCAUAUCAAUAAGCGGAGGAAAAGAAACUAACUAGGAUUCCCUCAGUAACGGCGAGUGAAGCGGGAAGAGCUCAAAUUUGAAAUCUUCAAGGUUCUACCUUGACGAAUUGUAGUUUAUAGAAGUGUUUUCUGUUAGUGGAGUGGCAAAAGUUCUUUGGAAUAGGACAUCAUAGAGGGUGAGAAUCCCGUAUUUGGUCAUUCCUCCUAGCGUUGUGAUACACUUUCAACGAGUCGGAUUGUUUGGGAAUGCAGUCCAAAAUGGGUGGUAAAUUUCAUCUAAAGCUAAAUAUUGGCGAGAGACCGAUAGCGAACAAGUACCGUGAGGGAAAGAUGAAAAGAACUUUGAAAAGAGAGUUAAACAGUACGUGAAAUUGUCAAAAGGGAAGCGUUUGACACCAGUGUUGUUUUUCUCGAAAAUCAAUUACGAAUGUUUUGUUUUUGAGGAGUUAUGACUUCAUCGGCUUGCUCCUUUCUUUACGAAACUUUCUUAAUGCACUUUUCGGUUAACAAGUCAACAUCAAUUUCUUUUGUUGUAAAAGGGUCAUGAGGAAGGUGGCUUUCUUUUCGGAGAAAGUGUUUAUAGCCUUGGCCUCUGCAAUCGGAGAGAUUGAGGUCUGCAGCGUAGAUCCUUCGGGGUUAGAUACAUUUGUGCUAAGUUAUAGCCUUUCAUAGACAACUUGUUGACUAUGAUCAGUCAUGUAGCUUACUCGCUGAUGUCAUUUUACCUACGCUUAGGAUGUUGAUAGUCACAGCGUGUAC